ensembl:lncRNA
UUUUUUUGGAUCAAUGUGAAUUAAAAAAAUUCUCAUUGUAUUGGUAGAACAUGGAAACGUGGAUCAAAUGAGGGAUGAAGGAGAGAAUUAAGAAGAGCUUCUGCUGUGUGUAUAGUGUAUAGACACACAGGAGAGGAGAAAACCAAACAGGGCAAGUGCUGGUGCUGUCACAAAUGUUAUGCUGCUUCAGGGAGACAAAUUGCUGGCCUAGACACAGGUAACACGCGCCAGUGUUGAGUCCCUGAUAAUCUUCCCACUAAUUCUCUAUUACAGCAAAAUGAAGCCAUAAAUCUUCCUGACAGCUGAUCGAUGUAAACAUUGUUUCCCCCAUGAUUGCCAGCAGUCCCAGUGGAGGUACUGUCCACUCACCACAGGCUGAAAUUACUCCCUGCACAAGCAUCCGCGCGAGCCUGGAACAAGAGAGAGAUGACACGUGCGGCUCAAGGAUUACGGGAAGGAAAGCCUUAAAGGAACAGUUCACAUAAAAAUGAAAUUCUGUCAUAAUUUACUCACCCACAUGUUGAUCAAAAUCUGGAUGUGUCUGUCCCUUCCAAAAAAGAGAUGUAAGGCGGAAUGACAGCCUCAAAAAGGAGGAGGCAACUAGGAACGCUAUCUUGGGCCCUGUGAUUAGAUUUGGAGAAAUUAAUCAUUGCAUCACUUGCUCACCAGUGGAUGCUCUGCAGUGAAUGGGUGCCAUCAGAGUGAGAGUCCAAACAGCUGUUAAAAACAUCGCAAUAAUCCACAAGUAAUCCACACCCUUCCAGUCCAUCAGUUAACAUCUUGAGAAGACAAAAACUGAAACAAAUCCAGCAUUAACACAUUUUUGUCAGUGUUGUUGACUUGUGUAUCCUUGUUUUAUCCCGUCUUAGUUCCUGUUUUCCUUAUUUGGCCUUUCCUGUUCCUGUCCUUGUUGUGUGAAUUUGUAUCCAGCUGUGUUUGAUUUAUUAGUUAAUUUGGUCCCAGGUGUGUUCCAUUGGUGUCUGUGUAUUUAAAGUGUUCCCAAUUCCUAGUUCUCUGUCUGCUGCUAAAUGUCAUUCAUAAGUGCCAGUAUUUGUAUCCCUUUGUUUGUUGAAUUAAAUUCUAGUUAACAUAUUCUCCAGCGUUUCCGCGUUCCUCCCUUGUGAAUUGUGACAGAACAGCAGACCGAAUAAGAUGAAUAUGGCUGAAGACAGGCUUUGGUGUCUGCGGCAGGGUGGUCGGGAAUUGGAGAGGUAUGUGGAGGAGUUCCCAGAGCUCUCCAACCAGGUGAUCUGGUGCGACUCUGCUCUUGGUGUCUGUUUUUCGGCUGGGGCUGGAUGAUGACAUAAUCGGCUGUGAUCUUCCCACGUAUAGUUUUCCCCUGAUCGAGCUGGUUAAUCAUGUCCUAUAUUUAAAAGGAGUUAAUCUGGAGGUAGAAAGAGUUCGGAGCGAUCAUCAUCCAGUCCCUGCCGAAAACCACUGAGCCUCACCAGCUCACCCUUUAGCCAGGAUCCUCCAUAUACCCAGCUAAAUGUUACGACCACCCAUCUCCUCCCACCACAGUCUCUGUCCUCAGCCCAGAAACACCACUGUCAAGCCUGCUGGCUGGUGCUCUCACAAGCCUGCCGGCCACUGCUCUUUCAAGAUUGCUGGCCACUCCGAUGACAAGUCCGCCGGCUGUGGCUCUCACAAGCCCACCAGCCAUUCCAAAGUCAAAUUUGCCGGUUUCUCUGCCGUAAAGCCCCCCGGUCAUCUAGCUCUCCUCAGCCCAAAGGAGGAGAUUUCGGAGGAAGAGACUGUGGACACCAGCCCCAGAGCUCUCUCCAGUGUCGGCUCUGGCCCCAGAGCUCGCUUCCAUGUUGCCUCCAGCCCCAGGGCUCACUCCAAUGUUGGCACGGCACCCGGUUCUAGCCCACGGAGGGCUCCUGUUCCCGGUUCUAGCCCACGGAGGGCUCCUGUUCCCGAGUAUAGCCCACGGAGGGCCCCUGUUCCAGAGUAUAGCCCACGGAGGGCUCCUAUUCCUCAGUAUAGCCCACAGAGGGCUCCAUUCCUGAGUCCAGCCCAGUGAGGGCUCCUGCCCCCAAGUUAAGCCCAGAGAGUGCUCCAGUCCCAGGUUUUGGCCCUGAGAUGGCCUUGGAGCCCGUAAGUGUCCCCAAGUAUUUUUUUUUUGGGGGGGGGGGGUGUAGUAGUAAGGCUCCAGUCGUAGAGGCAGUUCCGGAGGCAGCUCCGCCAUGGCUUCCUGAACUAUUUGAUCUGUGAUGGCUCCCCAUGCUCCCUGCUCCGCCAUGGCUUCCUGAACUGCCUACUCCACCCUGGCCUCCUGGUCUGCCUGCUCUGCCAUGGCACCCCGAAUUACCUGCUCCGCCAUGGCACCUCAAACUUCCUGCUCCAACUUUGCGCCCUGAACUGCCUGAUCCACCAUGGCUCCUGGGACUGUCUGUCCCGUUAUGGCCCCCUAAACUCUCUGAUCGGCCCUGGAGGCCUCCCGUAUCUCCGUCCUGUACCAGCCUCCAGGGAGCCCACUCCCCUCCCCGGGGGAAUUGUUAUGGCACAGGACACACCUUCCGGAAGGGUGGAGAAAUGUCAGUGUUGUGGACUUGUGUUUCCUUGUUUUACCUGUCUUAGUUCCUGUUUUCCUUAUUUGGCCUUUCCUGUUCCUGUCAUUGUUGUG